rnacentral:rRNA from 1 species
GACGAACGCUUGCGGCGUGCUUAACACAUGCAAGUCGAACGGAAAGGCCCUGCUUUUGUGGGGUGCUCGAGUGGCGAACGGGUGAGUAACACGUGAGUAACCUGCCCUUGACUUUGGGAUAACUUCAGGAAACUGGGGCUAAUACCGGAUAGGAGCUCCUGCUGCAUGGUGGGGGUUGGAAAGCUUCGGCGGUUGGGGAUGGACUCGCGGCUUAUCAGCUUGUUGGUGGGGUAGUGGCUUACCAAGGCUUUGACGGGUAGCCGGCCUGAGAGGGUGACCGGCCACAUUGGGACUGAGAUACGGCCCAGACUCCUACGGGAGGCAGCAGUGGGGAAUAUUGCACAAUGGGCGGAAGCCUGAUGCAGCAACGCCGCGUGCGGGAUGACGGCCUUCGGGUUGUAAACCGCUUUCGCCUGUGACGAAGCGUGAGUGACGGUAAUGGGUAAAGAAGCACCGGCUAACUACGUGCCAGCAGCCGCGGUGAUACGUAGGGUGCGAGCGUUGUCCGGAUUUAUUGGGCGUAAAGGGCUCGUAGGUGGUUGAUCGCGUCGGAAGUGUAAUCUUGGGGCUUAACCCUGAGCGUGCUUUCGAUACGGGUUGACUUGAGGAAGGUAGGGGAGAAUGGAAUUCCUGGUGGAGCGGUGGAAUGCGCAGAUAUCAGGAGGAACACCAGUGGCGAAGGCGGUUCUCUGGGCCUUUCCUGACGCUGAGGAGCGAAAGCGUGGGGAGCGAACAGGCUUAGAUACCCUGGUAGUCCACGCUGUAAACGGUGGGUACUAGGUGUGGGGUCCAUUCCACGGGUUCCGUGCCGUAGCUAACGCUUUAAGUACCCCGCCUGGGGAGUACGGCCGCAAGGCUAAAACUCAAAGGAAUUGACGGGGCCCCGCACAAGCGGCGGAGCAUGCGGAUUAAUUCGAUGCAACGCGUAGAACCUUACCUGGGUUUGACAUGGAUCGGGAGUGCUCAGAGAUGGGUGUGCCUCUUUUGGGGUCGGUUCACAGGUGGUGCAUGGCUGUCGUCAGCUCGUGUCGUGAGAUGUUGGGUUAAGUCCCGCAACGAGCGCAACCCUUGUUCACUGUUGCCAGCACGUUAUGGUGGGGACUCAGUGGAGACCGCCGGGGUCAACUCGGAGGAAGGUGGGGAUGACGUCAAGUCAUCAUGCCCCUUAUGUCCAGGGCUUCACGCAUGCUACAAUGGCUGGUACAGAGAGUGGCGAGCCUGUGAGGGUGAGCGAAUCUCGGAAAGCCGGUCUCAGUUCGGAUUGGGGUCUGCAACUCGACCUCAUGAAGUCGGAGUCGCUAGUAAUCGCAGAUCAGCAACGCUGCGGUGAAUACGUUCCCGGG